GACGAAGGAUGCAAGCGUUAUCCGGAUUCACUGGGUUUAAAGGGUGCGUAGGUGGGUUGAUAAGUCAGUGGUGAAAUCCCCGAGCUUAACUUGGGAACUGCCAUUGAUACUAUUGAUCUUGAAUACCGUGGAGGUCAGCGGAAUAUGUCAUGUAGCGGUGAAAUGCUUAGAUAUGACAUAGAACACCAAUUGCGAAGGCAGCUGGCUACGCGAAUAUUGACACUGAUGCACGAAAGCGUGGGGAUCAAACAGG
rnacentral:rRNA from 1 species